GCACACGUGUAAAGGCAGGAUUCCUGCAAGAGUGACCCCGGGCGCUCAGGGGCUCCCCGGCUCCGGUCCACCUCCAAAAGCCAGUUGGACAGGUUGAGGCCUACCCACGCCUGGGAGUGCUCUGGACUGUCAGAGGCUCCAGGAACACCUUGGGACCCUCAGAAGAAAGACAUCAAAGAGAGAGAACCCAACUCUGAAAAACAUCCAGCAGACAGGACUGUGGGAGGCCAACACAAGCUCCUUAUGAACAAAGGAGGCACCAGAGACCCCUUCAUUCCACAGGUUCCCAGGAUUCCACGUUCUACUAGAAUCUACAGCUUGGAGUCAAGCUUCCCUGCAGGCUCCGCAGUGACACUGCUGCUUUAGAAAGUGCCAGCCUGGAACACUAGGACUCUUGCGUCUUUCCAGGUUUCAUUGAGGCAGGCUCUUUCCCUCUCUGGUCUCUAUUUCCUUGUCUAGGGAGGGUUAGAGUUGGUGGCUGACUCCAGCCCAGGGGAUAGAGAUUGCGGUGGCAGGAGGUGGGGAGGAGAGAAAAGACAGGGGUGAGAGGACUCAGGAUGAGGAACCCCAAUACUGGGCCACAGAGGUCAGGGUCCCCUGCCCAGGGUGUCACUUACCGGAUGGUGAUUUCAAAGAUCUGAUUGAGUUUGCUCUGGAGCAGCGAUGCCUAGACACAAACACACGGAAGUGAGCUGGCAGGGGUGGGGGGUCCAGAACCUCUGCCAGCCGGCUCAGGGUGUCCAGAGUAUACGCUGGAGGUACAGGGCAGCCACAGCCUUAGGAAGGCAGGCAGAGGUGAACACGCUCCAGCACUCAUCCACUGGACCCUGACUGCAGAUUCGGAUCAGGGAAAGCCACCUACUGAAGGCUGGCUGGGGACAGGACAGAGGCUCAGAAUCACCAGGGAGGACGUCAGCAGGCAGUUCUGGAAGGUCCUUUUCCUUAAGAUGGGGCAGUAGGGGCUGCUGGGCAUGGAGUCGGGAGACUGCACUAGUGCCGGCUCUUUUCUUUUCUUUUUUUUAAUUGAGAAGGAGUCUUGCUCUGUUACCCAGGCUGGAGUGCGGUGGCAUGACCUCAGCUCACUACAACCUCUACCUCCUGGGUUCAAGCAAGUCUCCCAACUCAGCCUCCUGAGUAGCUGGGAUUACAGGUGCCUGCCACCAUGCGCGGCUAAUUUUUGUAUUUUUAGUAGAGAUGGAGUUUUGCUAUGUUGGCCAGGCUGGUCUCGAACUCCUGACCUCAG